rnacentral:rRNA from 1 species
GUCUGCGGCGAUGCCACCCUGAACGUGCCUGAUCUAGUCUGAUCUUGGAAGUUAAGCAGGGUCGGGCCUGGUUAGUGCUUGGAUGGGAGAUCGCCUAGGAAGACCAGGGGCUGCUGGCG